CUCCCUUGGCCCCGGUCCUGCUGCUGGCGCUCGGGCUGCGCGGCCUCCAGGCGGGGGGUGAGUGUGGCGGCGCCCCCCAGCCCAUUCCCCGGCCCCGGCCCCGCCUCUGAGGUUCGCGUCCCCCCACAGCCCGCAGGGCCCCGGACCCCGGCUUCCAGGAGCGCUUCUUCCAGCAGCGUCUGGACCACUUCAACUUCGAGCGCUUCGGCAACAAGACCUUCCCCCAGCGCUUCCUGGUGUCGGGUGAGACCCCGGCCCCGGCCCGGCCCGGCCCGCCCCGCCGUCCCGCCGCCCCCCAGCACCCUCGCCUCAUCCGCCCUCCCCACAGACAGGUUCUGGGUCCGGGGCGAGGGGCCCAUCUUCUUCUACACUGGAAACGAGGGCGACGUGUGGGCCUUCGCCAACAACUCGGGCUUCGUCGCGGAGCUGGCGGCCGAGCAGGGGGCUCUACUGGUCUUCGCGGAGGUGCCGGGGGUGCGGGGGGGUCGCGGAGCACCGCUACUACGGGAAGUCGCUGCCGUUCGGUGCGCAGUCCACGCAGCGCGGGCACACGGAGCUGCUGACGGUGGAGCAGGCCCUGGCCGACUUCGCAGAGCUGCUCCGCGCCCUACGACGCGACCUCGGGGCCCAGGAUGCCCCCGCCAUCGCCUUCGGUGGAAGUUACGGGGGGAUGCUCAGCGCCUACCUGAGGAUGAAGUAUCCCCACCUGGUGGCGGGGGCGCU
rnacentral:sRNA from 1 species